CUCUCACCUCCUGCACGCUCACAGAGCUGUGCUUUGGGAAGCUCCUCAGGCUUUCUCAUGAUGUGAGCUGUGAAGAUCCAGCAACAUUUCAUCCUGGAGCUAUAUUUGCAUAUCUGUAGCCUGCAAGUUUGGCAUGAUUCCCUUUAUGAAACCAUUUAUUCUGCAUAGAUGGAUAUUCUUGAAUGUCAGGACUAUGCGCAGCCCGCCUCCUUUUAUCCCAGUUGUGUUGCAUGUUAUGAGCUUUGCCCUUUAUUGCUUUAUUUGCUACUAAUUCUGCAGCUGUUUCUCUGUUCAGGUGGCAAAUGAAAAUGCUGUGGGCCUGAUAAGGUGGUGCUUGCCCACUGGGGAGGAGCCUGGUGCUCCUGUGUGGUGAGGGGGCUCCAGGGAAGGCCCUAGGUGAUGAGGAGAAGCCUUGCUGGGGCUCCACGGGGGACCCCGGGGGCUGCUGAAAUGAGAGUGGAAUGAAGAUCUGAAGGAGGAAAAUAGCUUGAAUCUGAGCAAUGUGGGGAAGAAAGGAACCAUUCUAGAACUGAAUGCUUCCACCACCACUCAUCAGUGAGCACAGUGACUGACUCAGUCUUGGGCUUGAUGCUCUCUCAGACCAGACUGAAGGAUGUAUUUGAUCACCAAGAGUUAAUUAUUAAAGAGGGAAAGGAACAUUCAUUUCAAAAGCAGAUGGUUUUCAACGUUCACAGUUGUAUCAGUCCUCUGAGCAUCACUGAACAUUUCAAGACGAGUUGUUUGUGAAGCAUGAUCCCAGCAGAUCCUCCACAAGAACAAAAAGUGGCAUGCAGGUCUCAAAAGGAAGAGAAGAGGAGGAUGGAGCAGUGGAACAGAAGACUGACGAUGGAAGAUAGAAACACUGCAAAAAGGAGAAAAAGAAAUACAGAUCCAGCUUCAUGCCUGCCUUCAGUACAGAGGUGAUAAGAGAUGGUGAGGAGUGGCUGCAGCUGAGCAGGAUGCGAGGUGUGCUCAGGGAGUGCAGCAGCAGCAGCAGCUGGCAUCCAUCCGUCCCCAGUGUCCUGGGGUGAUGGCAGAGGUGUGCUCACUCCUCUGUUCUUUGACCAAUGUGGUUUGCACUCAUCUGCAGAAAACAGUUGAACUCUCUUCUGAGUUACAUUCUUAUGCCAAGAAUUGGGGAAGUCUGCCCACUAUUAUCAGUAUGGUUGGUUCCUUCUAAUCAGUCAUACUAGGUUGAAUAGAAUCUAAUAUUUCCUACCGAUGUCUGUGGAAGGAGGCUUAAUUUGGGGUCAUUUAUUCCAUUCACUAAAAGUUUUACAAGUAGCUUUAAGGAUCAAGCAGCUUUAAAGAUCAUGUUAUCUGAUAACUAUUGUGUUAUUGUGUUAAAACUAGAACAUAAAAUUAUUUAAUUACCAUAUUCUGUAUGUUCAGCUCCUCAGGAUAUUUUUCCUUUCCAGAACAUGCAAUCAGCACAUCCCUAGGCCAAUUAUAAAUUAUAAAAUAUCACCAUCAAAUAUGAGUAUUCUUGAGUGGAGGUGAGUAUUUUGAAUGGGUAUUUACUGAAGAAGAAGAAAAAAAAAAAGUAGAACUUGCUUUAUCACUUUCUUUGAGUUUGCCUUCUUCAAAGCCAACUAAUUUAUCAGGAUGAAUAUUUGUAGACACAGCAGACAACGGAGAAUAUUUAUGGAAAGUGAAUUUUAAACUCAAGCAUGAAUAUUAAUGCUGAAUCUGAGUUAUUUUUUAUUUUUAUUUAUUAAUUAUUUGCUUUAACUGAGGAAGAUAUCACAAGCAUUGCACUGCAACUUAAACAUCCGUAUGUGCGGCAAAACUGAACCUCACAGUGAAAUGGGAUGGUGACUGUUAGCAUUUAACUGCUCAUAAACCACAGAUGACUUUUUAUGUGGAUAAGUAAUUAUAUACAGAUACCGUCAAGUAAAUCCUGUAUUUAAUAACUUCAUACGAGCCAGGGAAUUUGAGGAAAGAAAAAGAUUGCUCAUAUGCUAGUGAAUGGUAAUCAAAUUUAUUAUUUUU